AACGAACGCUGGCGGCAGGCCUAACACAUGCAAGUCGAACGCCCCGCAAGGGGAGUGGCGCACGGGUGAGUAACGCGUGGGAAUAUGCCCUUCGGUUCGGAAUAACACAGGGAAACUUGUGCUAAUACCGGAUACGAUCUACGGAUGAAAGAUUUAUCGCCGAGGGAGUAGCCCGCGUAGGAUUAGCUAGUUGGUGAGGUAACGGCUCACCAAGGCGACGAUCCUUAGCUGGUCUGAGAGGAUGAUCAGCCACACUGGGACUGAGACACGGCCCAGACUCCUACGGGAGGCAGCAGUGGGGAAUAUUGGACAAUGGGCGAAAGCCUGAUCCAGCCAUGCCGCGUGAGUGAUGAAGGCCUUAGGGUUGCAAAGCUCUUUCGCCAGGGAAGAUAAUGACGGUACCUGGGAAAGAAGCCUCGGCUAACUCCGUGCCAGCCGCCGCAGUAA
rnacentral:rRNA from 1 species